GGGCAGAUAGCUCAGUCGGUAGAGCAAUGGACUGAAAAUCCAUGUGUCGGGGGUUCAAUUCCCUCUCUGCCCACAA
rnacentral:tRNA from 9 species